CAGGGUCAGCAUCCAUGAAAGCACGACAUGCUUGCAUGGGAGUGCUUUUAUGGAUGAAUGACCCGCCUCAAUAUGAGCAUAAAAGUGGAACGUAAGUUCCGCGAUAUGCGAAUGUUGAGCAGGAUCGUGAAAGUGCCGGGCACGGAACGAUCCGUAU
rnacentral:sRNA from 1 species